AUUUAUCAAUCACAAUUUAUUAUUCGUGAACAAUCUAUUUUUAUACUACGUACUGGUACCAUCGCGGAUUGUCUCGUCCACGGAAGAAUGUGGUCUCGUCAUUAAAUAUCAAUAUAAUAUGAUAAUAUCAAUUAACAAUCUAAAAUUGGUAAUCCGUAUAAAACAACGUAUCUAUAAACAACUGUAUCUAUAAUCUAUGUCUAUCGCCGCCAUAUUAUUUACUCGUCGUUGUUCGUAAUUCGUAUGCUGUACAUUUCGGAUCGUCAUUUUCCUUUUCAUCGCGGUGUGCGUCGUUCGUCGUUCUCGACUUUUGUUUCGCGUCCCGUUCUGUGUAAACAACACAAACCACGCCAUCAUUUUGCAAUUCUUCCGAGUCCUGUGUCGUCGGAUACCGAUUACCGAUUAUUUUCAUCGUGCAGCCGUCGCCGACGUAGUUCGUUAUUAGAUACAGUCAAAAUUAUUUAUUUUGGCGUCGAUCGUCGGCCAUCGCUCUUGUACUUUUUGUUUCGACUUUCGAGUACCGUUCUGUUUAAACAACAAACAACGCGUAGACGACAUUUUUUUUCAAUUUUUUUUUUUGUUAUUGUUUUUCAAUUUUAACUUAACAGUUUUAAAAUUUAUAUUGAUACGAAGUUGACAAGUGAAGGUAACGCGCGGGUAUGAGUACAGUAUUGCGAGUUGCGACUAUAAUCCAUAUUAUUCUUUUAUUCAAAUAUUGAUGACUGAUGAGUGGCUAAGUUUUCGACAAGUGGAUACCUAAUUGUCACCGUCUCAAGAGUCAAGACUUAUUAUACCUAUCAAGUUUUCAGUUGACACCGAGGGGCUGUUGAGGACCUACCAAUUUCAGUUAUAUAUGUUGUAGUAUUGUUCUUGGGGCUGAAGGCACAUUAUCUUUCAAAAGGAAACUUACAUUUGGAGUUGAUAAUUUAAAAAAAAAAGCUAAUCCACUGAAAAAUAUUAGUCGUCAUAUAGGUUCUCUCAAAAGUCCAGAUGCUGAAAAAUCUACAUUGUUAAAAAGAAACAAUUUUGAUGAAAAAAACCACACAGAGAUCAUCAUCCUCGCAUCUUAUGAUUAAUUCAGAUG